rnacentral:rRNA from 1 species
CCUACGGGAGGCAGCAGUGAGGAAUAUUGGUCAAUGGGCGUAAGCCUGAACCAGCCAAGUCGCGUGAGGGAUGAAGGUUCUAUGGAUCGUAAACCUCUUUUAUAAGGGAAUAAAGUGCGGGACGUGUCCCGUGUUGUAUGUACCUUAUGAAUAAGGAUCGGCUAACUCCGUGCCAGCAGCCGCGGUAAUACGGAGGAUCCGAGCGUUAUCCGGAUUUAUUGGGUUUAAAGGGUGCGUAGGCGGCCUUAUAAGUCAGCGGUGAAAUGCUGUGGCUCAACCAUAGAAUUGCCGUUGAUACUGGGAGGCUUGAGUAUGGUUGAGGCAGGCGGAAUGUGUGGUGUAGCGGUGAAAUGCUUAGAUAUCACACAGAACCCCGAUUGCGAAGGCAGCCUGCCAAGCCAUGACUGACGCUGAUGCACGAAAGCGUGGGGAUCAAACAGGAUUAGAUACCCGUGUAGUC